rnacentral:rRNA from 1 species
AGAUUGAACGCUGGCGGCAUGCCUUACACAUGCAAGUCGAACGGCAGCACGGGAGCAAUCCUGGUGGCGAGUGGCGAACGGGUGAGUAAUAUAUCGGAACGUGCCCAGUAAUGGGGGAUAGCCCGGCGAAAGCCGGAUUAAUACCGCAUACGACCUACGGGUGAAAGCGGGGGAUCGCAAGACCUCGCGUUAUUGGAGCGGCCGAUAUCAGAUUAGCUUGUUGGUGGGGUAAAAGCUUACCAAGGCUACGAUCUGUAGCUGGUCUGAGAGGACGACCAGCCACACUGGGACUGAGACACGGCCCAGACUCCUACGGGAGGCAGCAGUGGGGAAUUUGGACAAUGGGCGCAAGCCUGAUCCAGCCAUGCCGCGUGCGGGAAGAAGGCCUUCGGGUUGUAAACCGCUUUGUCGAGGAAGAAACGGACCGGUUAAUAAACCGGCUAAGUGACGGUACCUGAAGAAUAAGCACCGGACUAACUACGU